UCUGUGAGAAUAACAAUUUUACCUUACACUGUAUUUAUCUCAUGUGGUUUAAAACAUCCAGAAAUCAUUGAUAAACUGACCCUGCCCAAACUAAAGCAUGGUCAACAGUGUUGCCCAAAACAAAUGAAUUUUACACCUUCUCAAACUCAAUAGAGCAAAGAUGGAACUUCAUUCCCCCUGCAAGACUUACUGCCCUAGAGAAAAGCAAAAACAACGUGUGACAUCUAAUUCUUUCUCCACAUUCUCAUCUCAAAUGGAGCAUCAAUAAAAGCCCUCCAGGAGUAGCUGUCGCUCUUUCCCUCCACAUGAGCACCAGCUGCGUUUGCUUUAAGCAUCAGACUCUCAGGCAACACCAUAGCCCUCAACUCCGUUUA